AUUGAACGCUGGCGGCAGGCCUAACACAUGCAAGUCGAGCGAGCGGCGGACGGGUGAGUAAUGUAUGGGGACUGCCCGAUAGAGGGGGAUAACUACUGGAAACGGUAGCUAAUACCGCAUACUAUCGGAUAACCCAUAUGGGAUUAGCUAGUAGGUGAGGUAAUGGCUAACCUAGGCGACGAUCCCUAGCUGGUUUGAGAGGACGACCAGCCACACUGUGACUGAGACACGGCCCAGACUCCUACGGAGGAAGCAGUGGGGAAUUUUGGGAAAUGGGGGAAACCCUGAUCCAGCCAUCCCGCGUGUAUGAUGAAGGCCUUCGGGUUGUAAAGUACUUUUGGCAGAGAAGCGGUAUCUGCAGAAUAAGCACCGGCUAACUACGUGCCAGCCGCCGCGGUAAUUC
rnacentral:rRNA from 1 species